UGAGUAACGCGUGAGCAACCUGCCUUAAACAACGGGAUAGCCUCGGGAAACCGGGAUUAAUACCGUAUGAGACCCCGCCUUCACAUGAAGAAGAGGUUAAAGAUUUAUCGGUUUAAGAUGGGCUCGCGUCUGAUUAGCUAGUUGGUGAGAUAAAAGCCCACCAAGGCAACGAUCAGUAACCGGCUUGAGAGAGUGAACGGUCACAUUGGAACUGAGACACGGUCCAAACUCCUACGGGAGGCAGCAGUGGGGAAUAUUGCACAAUGGGGGAAACCCUGAUGCAGCGACGCCGCGUGAGCGAUGAAGGAAUUCGUUUCGUAAAGCUCUGUCCUAGGGGAAGAUAAUGACAGUACCCUUGGAGGAAGCCCCGGCUAAAUACGUGCCAGCAGCCGCGGUAAUACGUAUGGGGCGAGCGUUGUCCGGAAUUAUUGGGCGUAAAGGGUACGUAGGCGGUUUCAUAAGUCAGAUGUAAA
rnacentral:rRNA from 1 species